rnacentral:misc_RNA from 1 species
CGCACAUUGCGCCCCCUGGUAUUCCGGGGGGCAUGCCUGUUCGAGCGUCAUUUCACCACUCAAGCCUCGCUUGGUAUUGGGCACCGCGGUCCGCCGCGCGCCUCAAAUCGACCGGCUGGGUCUUUCGUCCCCUAAGCGUUGUGGAAACUAUUCGCUAAAGGAGGCUCAGGAGGCUACGCCGUAAAACAACCCCAUUUCUAAGGUUGACCUCGGAUCAGGUAGGGAUACCCGCUGAACUUAA